CCGGCGACCGGCGCACGGGUGAGUAACACGUAUGAAACCUGCCCGUAGCAGGGGGAUAAGCGGAAGAAGUUCCGUCUAAUACCGCGUAACAACCCAUGGAGGCAUCUCUGUGGGUUUAAAGGAAGCGAUUCCGGCUACGGAUGGUCAUGCGUCGCAUUAGCUUGUUGGCGGGGUAACGGCCCACCAAGGCGACGAUGCGUAGGGGUUCUGAGAGGAAGGCCCCCCACACUGGUACUGAGACACGGACCAGACUCCUACGGGAGGCAGCAG
rnacentral:rRNA from 1 species